rnacentral:rRNA from 1 species
CGAGUGGCGAACGGGUGAGUAAUAUAUCGGAACGUGCCCAGUAAUGGGGGAUAGCCCGGCGAAAGCCGGAUUAAUACCGCAUACGACCUACGGGUGAAAGCGGGGGAUCGCAAGACCUCGCGUUAUUGGAGCGGCCGAUAUCAGAUUAGGUAGUUGGUGGGGUAAAGGCCUACCAAGCCUGCGAUCUGUAGUUGGUCUGAGAGGACGACCAGCCACACUGGGACUGAGACACGGCCCAG